UACGGGGGGAGCAAGCGUUGUUCGGAUUUACUGGGCGUAAAGGGCGCGUAGGCGGUCGUGACAAGUCACUUGUGAAAUCUCCGGGCUUAACUCGGAACGGUCAAGUGAUACUGUCGGACUAGAGUACAGAAGGGGCAACUGGAAUUCCUGGUGUAGCGGUGAAAUGCGCAGAUAUCAGGAGGAACACCAGCGGCGAAGGCGGGCGCUCGUGGGCCGGUACUGACACUGAGGAGCGAAAGCGUGGGGAGCAAACAGG
rnacentral:rRNA from 1 species